rnacentral:rRNA from 1 species
UACGUAGGGCGCAAGCGUUGUCCGGAAUUAUUGGGCGUAAAGAGCUCGUAGGCGGUUUGUCGCGUCUGCUGUGAAAUCCCGAGGCUCAACCUCGGGCUUGCAGUGGGUACGGGCAGACUAGAGUGCGGUAGGGGAGACUGGAAUUCCUGGUGUAGCGGUGGAAUGCGCAGAUAUCAGGAGGAACACCGAUGGCGAAGGCAGGUCUCUGGGCCGCAACUGACGCUGGAGGAGCGGAAAGCAUGGGGAGCGAAACAG